CCAGCAAAGCUCCCUCUCACCUCCCUGGACAAGACACUGACCAUACAGCCUGGGAGCAACUGAGGGUACAGGUAGCACCAUGCAGUGUGGAAACCUCCCUUUGUGUCUGACAGGAGUAGCUGUGGUUCAAGCCCAUGUGAUACAGUGGAUCAAGUGCCCAGAUGUGCUGAUUUUCAACAAUAGCCUAUCCCAUGCAAAACACUAACGUUCUCUACUCUACCUGAGAAGUUACACUGGAUGUAGUCCUGCAAAGCUUCUUUGCUGAAUAAGCCUGGCUCCUUUGAUUCAGAUCCUUUCGAGGAGAGUCUAAGCAGACUGGAAUACACAAGUACCAGAAACAUUUGUAAUGCUAAACUGUAAGAAUAGAAGAAAAGCUACUUAAUUUUC